UCCUAUCCUAUCCUUUUUGACCUUGCACACAGGAGCUCCUGACUUCAGUUUGUCUAAGACCCUUGACGAGAAUGUGUAAAAAUAAAAUCAAAGUGACCGUUGAUGUGUUUUCCAGGCGGGAAAGUUCAGCUUCAUCGUGUUCAUCAUCUACAUCGGAUCAACGCUGUCGUACUACGCUCUGACGACUUUGAUGAUCGACUGGCUGAUUGGAACCAGAUGUUACUCUGCAGAUGUCGGACAAAACUACUCCGAGAAGAAAGUGGAGUCAGUCCAGGACAAACAGAAGUGCAUUCUCUGCGUGUCUUACGUCGAUGAAAACAAUAUCCGAUUGGUGAAGAUAUCACAGAAGAAUAGUUUACAAGACAUCACACCGAUAUCUGUCCAGUCAC